UUCAUGCUUUCCUCGGAGACGCUUAGCAAGCCAAGGAUACACACACACAACACCUCUCUCUCUGCCCACGUACACACACGCAGGUGCACACAUUCCCUUCAUUCUCGUUCACACAUGCUUCCCUGCCCUCAAACACACACCCCUCCUCCUUAUUCCUCUGCCUCAUCCCCUCAUUUUCUCCCACAUCCUUACCCGCAGGCACUUUUUCUCACACCUGUACAUGACAUGCUGCCUCACGCUCCUAUACCCCAUUUUUCUCUCUCUCGUGCCCACUUUAUCCUUUGUCUCACAUCUAGCGCAAUGCCAUCAUUUUUUUUACACCUUGAGCCUUUUCCUUGCACACAAAUGCUUGUUCUCUGCAAGACAAUGCACCUCGCGCAACAUAUGCACCGCAUUUUCUUGAUAUGCACACUGUUCUUGUUAGCACACCCACACAGCCCUCACACAGGCAAACACCAUCCAUUUCUCUCACUGUAUCUCAUAUAUAUAGCUCUCUCUCACUCUCUCUCUGUGUCUAUAGGCAACAAAUGCUGUGCCCACAUUACUUUAUCCUCCCUUCCCCGCCCACACCUGACCUCCCCAAAUAAUGUUUCCUCACACACACACAGACACAUGUUCUUAUCUGCAUACAGGUGUUUGUUUCUCAACACAGACAGAUUCACAGCUGUUCAUUUCUUUCUCUCAGACCCAUUAACAAAAGCACACUGAGGACCUCAAGGAAGCCAUAUUUUACAUACUGGUUUCACCAACAGAAGACACUGAGCUCCCUCUUUCCCCUCCUUUUCUGCCCCACAGCUUGUUUUUUUCAAAAUGCACCCUAUGAAGAAUCAGGGUGCAGUUUUGGGUUGCUCUCUGUAUAUGAAGAGCUCCUCUACUCAUGCACACACUUGCUUCCUAUAUGGUGCAAUCUUAUCCAAGUCUACUUGGAAGUAAGUGCCAUUAAGUUCAAUAGGACUUACUCUCUGAUAAAGGGGUCUAUAGGAUUGCAGGCUUAAUCAGCUGCCCUUGCAGAUCUCCUGUCUUUGUGCAGACUUGAACAGAAAACAUUCAUGGUGCCACUAUAGCAAGGGUUAGAAGAAGAAGAAACUUUCCUUUUACCUAACUCUGUUGUAGAAAUGGGUGAAGCAGUUAGUUUAUACCACUCCAUUGUCACAAACUAGCCUUAACAUCAGCUUAGGCAAGCCUUGAAGGAGGAAUCCUUGGCUGCCAAUAGUACUUCCAAAUUACUCCUUCUCCACCUACCCUAGUAGUGUGCAAAUUAAAGAUGAAAGGCCAGUUUAAAGGGACAUAAAAAACCAAGGUAGACAUGUAGGUUCCUAAACCCCCCCCCAUACAUAGUGGGGCCGUAUUUUUAUUGGAAUCAAUCAAAAUAUCACAAAAGCUCCACACUUUUUUGAUGCUUUCGUUGGUCCCAAUAAAGUAUUGCCCAACAGAUUUUGCACUUUAAAAGGCAGCACUCUGCUCCUUCCUUCCUGCUGCAGAUCCAAGUUAUUUAGAAAAUCCUAGGAAAUUCGGAUCUAGCUACUAGCUUUGGGAACAAAUCCAUCUGAAUGUAACAAAUGCAUGUUAGAGAAUUAGCAUUCCAGCUUCACCACCAUUACCCUUAUUCAGUCGGGUUCUUCAUGAGCAUAUUUGGAUUAGAUCUUUUAUGUGAGUGUUCAGAUUGUAUAUGUAUUCUGUUGUGGCAAAAUUAAAAACUCGUGUUAGGAUAACAGCUCAGGGAAUGUUUUCAGCCUGUAAGACAAAACGAGGAUAAUGGCAUAUAUAUUUUUGGUCAAAUUUUGGGUCUUACUGUGUGAAAAGCACUUAGUUACUAUCUGGAAGGUCGGUUACCAGACCAAAGGACCAUUGUAGCCAGAUGACAGGUAUGUAGCCGUUCACCUCUGACAGUAACAAAGCUAAAAUGGGAUUUGUGUCCCCCCCCCAUCUAUCUAAAAGAACACUAAGCUGUACAUAAUGAGAAAGAAAUAAUAAGUAUUCCAAGACCUACAAUAACUAUUCUUGACAAUUAGCUGAAAGCCAUGUUAAUGAAUGUUGUAACAGUGUACAGUCACAUCACAGAAAAACUGCAAUAAGAAUGGAAGGAGAAAGGGUGUGUUUGUGAUAAAAUUCCAGUUGUAUAUAGCUUUAUCCCUAAUAGAUUUCAUUCCUUUCAUAGAAUGACAUGAAACAAGAAUCAGAUAAGCUUUGGAAACCCCUUAAAGGUUAUUGUAUACAUUUCUGGCUGUGCCAAUUCCAAGAAACAAACCCAGUUCUGCACUGUUGAUAGCUUUAAACAGAAUCAUAGAGUUGGAAGGUAAUAUGUGCCAAUCUCCUGCCCAUGGAGGGAACUCGCUCCAUCCAAAGCAUAUUCAGAAAUGGCAGCAUGGCUUUCUGUUUGCAGUUGGUUUUUUAAGUCAGUAACUUAUUGGAGAAAAUCAAUGCAGGGAAUGAGAUGGACACACUUUUUACACAGAGACAUGUGUAGUUGAACUACAAUGAAAUGACAAAGGAGACUCUUAGUGAUCACCGUUAUGUGAUGGAAAGCAGCUUCCAAGGUUGCAAAGUUCUACAAACUGGAAACACAUACAAAAACAAAUUCUCUUGGCCAUCUUACAUGCUGAUCAUAAACUCAUCAUUUGGAAGCAAGUGCAAUUUGUUGAAAUGGCAGUGAUGCCCACGGUCAAGGUGCCAGUAUCUGUGUUUUAUUUAGGAAAUCGUUAGUUUGAAAGUUGUAUACAGUUUCUGUAGUAAACAUGUAUUAUUACACUGUAUCUUUUGAUAUAGCCAUGCAAAGUAUUUGUGAGAAUCGGGAUACAAUGUUUCGCCCCACUCAAGCAUGAGAAUCAUUUUGAAGACA